UGCGUGCCGCGGGGGAUGCCGGGAGCGCGCAGUGGCGGCAGCGGCGGCGACGACAGUAGCAGCGGCGGCUACAGCGGGGACGCAAGCGGGGCGGUGACCGUGUGGGAGGUGGUCUCACUCUUGGGGAAGCUGCUGGGCACUGUCGCCGCGCUGAAGGUGGUUCUGUACCUGCUCCGGGUGUGCUUAGCGAUGGCCUGGAAAUCCGGCGGCGCCAGCCACUCGGAGCUAAUCCACAACCUCCGCAAAAAUGGAAUCAUCAAGACAGAUAAAGUAUUUGAAGUAAUGCUGGCCACAGACCGCUCUCACUAUGCAAAGUGUAACCCUUAUAUGGAUUCUCCACAAUCAAUAGGGUUCCAAGCAACAAUCAGUGCUCCACACAUGCAUGCAUAUGCACUAGAACUUCUAUUUGAUCAAUUGCAUGAAGGAGCUAAAGCUCUUGAUGUAGGAUCUGGAAGUGGAAUCCUUACUGCAUGUUUUGCACGUAUGGUUGGGCCUAGUGGAAAAGUCAUAGGAAUUGACCACAUUAAAGAGCUAGUAGACGACUCAGUAAAUAAUGUCAGAAAGGAUGAUCCAAUGCUUUUGUCUUCAGGGAGAGUGCAACUGGUUGUGGGGGAUGGAAGAAUGGGAUAUGCCGAAGAAGCCCCUUAUGAUGCUAUUCAUGUAGGAGCUGCAGCCCCAGUUGUGCCCCAGGCACUAAUAGACCAGUUAAAGCCUGGUGGAAGAUUGAUAUUGCCAGUUGGUCCUGCAGGUGGAAACCAGAUGCUGGAGCAGUAUGACAAGCUCCAGGAUGGCAGUGUCAAAAUGAAGCCUCUGAUGGGAGUGAUAUACGUGCCUUUAACAGAUAAAGAAAAGCAGUGGUCCAGGAUUUCCAGUACUAUGUUGAAUAAAAGUGGCGAGAGUGGGCAUCCUUGUCUUGUUCCUGAUUUUAGAGGAAAAGCUUUCAGCUUUUCACCGUUGAAUAUGAUGUUAGCUGUGAGCUUGUCAUAUGUGGCCUUUAUUAUGUUGAGUUGCUGGUACAGUGCUGCACCUGGCUGAGCGAAUGGUUUCUUUUGGAGCUGAUAAAGCUGUCUUAUGAAAUCAGCUGACAGGGACGAACUGUAAAAGCAACAUCAGCUUGACCAGUAUAUAAUAUUACAGUGGAUUGCUCAUCUCAGUCCUCAAAGCUUUUGAAAAUCAACAGCAUCACAGCUUGUGUUGGACUUUCUUACACUAUUUUCAGCAUGAAAAUGUGUGGUUUUGUGGGGUUUCUAAUUCUUCAAAGAGGCACAGAAGCCAAAUUGGUAGAAGGAUGCAAAUAUAAAUUUGUGUAUUAUUACUUUAACAUGCCCACGUUUUACUUUAAAUGUUAAAAGGAAGGGUUCUGCAAAAUGGAAAACAUAGUUUGUGAAUUGAUUUUGAGGAGUGGUUUUUCUUUUCUUAGACACUUAAUUCUGUUCAGAUGUUAAUUUAUCAGAUUGCUUUUGUGCAUCAGGUAACACCACCAUUCAUAAGUUAAGAUUCUUGGUUUUUGGGUGUAUGUUAGAUGCUACUAAGAAAAUAGAGAUGAGCUUCCUUUUUAAAGCUUUUGAUGUGGUGUCAUAGAAUAGCAUGUUGUAGAUACAAUCGGCUGCUUUGUUACCUUAAAGCUAAGCAUUUGUAAAUAUUAAAACUUAAGAAGAUGACAGGUGAUGUCCCUUAAAACACUCAGCUGUUCAGAUUGGACAUAACUGACAUAGUUCUUCCUUUCUCUCUUUAAAAAUUCUAGGAGCUCAGUAUUGUUUUUCUGUUUCUGAUUUGCUGCUCAUAAUGUAUAUGGAUUUAACAUGCUGUGUAAGCUGCGUCCUAGUCACUGAACAGUUGAUGCAGUGCUGCUUUGCCAAAUAAAGUUAAAAGUGAAAGGCA